rnacentral:tRNA from 1 species
GGCGCAGUCUGGUAGCGCACUUGACUGGGGGUCAAGGGGUCGGAGGUUCAAAUCCUCUC